rnacentral:misc_RNA from 1 species
GAUGAAGAACGUAGCGAAAUGCGAUAAGUAGUGUGAAUUGCAGAAUUCAGUGAAUCAUCGAAUCUUUGAACGCACAUUGCGCCCUUUGGUAUUCCUUAGGGCAUGCCUGUUCGAGCGUCAUUUAAACCUUCAAGCUCAGCUUGGUGUUGGGUGACUGUCCGCUUCACCGCGGACUCGCCUCAAAAUUAUUGGCGGCCGGUACAUUGGCUCUCGAGCGCAGCAGAAACGCGUAACUCGAGGUCCUCGUGCUGGCUCCCAGAAGCUAUCUUCACAAUUUUGACCUCGGAUCAGGUAGGGAUACCCGCUGAACUUAAGCAUAUCAAUAAGCGGAAGA